GUUAAGUUAAUUCUCGACAGAACUGGAGAUUUCCUCAACAGGGACAGAGUGGGGUAUUCAUGAGGAAUUGCAUGCAACACUAUGCACUAUAUAGGAAUACUUUUCCCAUCUGGGCUUUGGCUGAAUACAGACUGCAUGUUUUGUUGCCUUCUGAAAAAACCUGAAUCAAGGGAAUUUAUAUGAAAUAAGGUUUUA